CUAAUACUCCCUCCGUCCAAAAAUACUCGUCAUCAAAAUGGAUAAAAAUAGAUGUAUCUAGAAUUAAAAUACGUCUAGAUACAUCUUUUUUAUUCAUUUUGAUGACAAGUAUUUCCAGACGAAGGUAGUAGAUA
rnacentral:pre_miRNA from 1 species